rnacentral:lncRNA from 1 species
GUCACUCUAGUUCAACGUGAUUGUUGACCUACCCUACACUAGUGUGGUGAUGUGCUCUCUUAUGUGCGCUCAAGUGAUAAGACCGCAUAAAGGACCUGGAGCAGACGGUGCAACUGUAUGGCCGGUCACCUGUAUGAACACGCUGGUGUAUCGUCAGUGAAUUUUUGAAUGCGAAUCUCUGAAGGCAUAAAGGGCACUGAAAUGGCUUCUCACCAGUGUGAGUGCACAGGUGUUUCAUAAGGUUGCCCUUUUGUGAGAAGCUCUGAGAGCAUGAAGGGCACUGAUACGGCUUCUCGCCUGUGUGGAUGCGCAGGUGGGCUUUCAGGUAGGCCUUUCGUGAGAAGCUCUGAGAGCAUGAAGGGCAGUCAAAUGGCUUCUCGCCUGUGUGAAUCUGCUG